rnacentral:rRNA from 1 species
GGUGAGUAACGCGUAUGCAACCUGCCUUAAACUGGAGAAUAGCUCCCGGAAACGGGGAUUAAUGCUCCAUAAUGUUAUGAGAUCGCAUGAUUUUAUAAUUAAAGCUCCGGCGGUUUAAGAUGGGCAUGCGUACCAUUAGUUAGUUGGUAAGGUAACGGCUUACCAAGGCAGCGAUGGUUAGGGGGUCUAAAAGGAUGGUCCCCCACACUGGUACUGAGACACGGACCAGACUCCUACGGGAGGCAGCAGUGAGGAAUAUUGGUCAAUGGACGCAAGUCUGAACCAGCCAUGCCGCGUGCAGGAUUGAAUGCCCUAUGGGUUGUAAACUGCUUUUCUGUACCAAGAAACGUACUUACGUGUAAGUAUUUGACGGUAGUACAGGAAUAAGCAUCGGCUAACUCCGUGCCAGCAGCCGCGGUAAUACGGAGGAUGCAAGCGUUAUCCGGAUUCAUUAGGUUUAAAGGGUGCGCAGGCGGAAUAAUAAGUCAGUGGUGAAAUCUUGCCGCUUAACGGUGAAACUGCCAUUGAAACUGUUAUUCUUGAGUGUAGUUGAGGUAGGCGGAAUGUGUAGUGUAGCGGUGAAAUGCUUAGAUAUUACACAGAACACCUAUUGCGAAGGCAGCUUACUAAACUACUACUGACGUUGAGGCACGAAAGCGUGGGGAGCGAACAGGAUUAGAUACCCUGGUAGUCCACGCUGUAAACUAUGAUCACUCGUUGUUCGCGAUACAUUGUGAGCGACCAAGCGAAAGCAUUAAGUGAUCCACCUGGGGAUUACGUCGGCAACGAUGAAACUCAAAGGAAUUGACGGGGGCCCGCACAAGCGGAGGAACAUGUGGUUUAAUUCGAUGAUACGCGAGGAACCUUACCUGGGCUUAAAUGCAGAACGAUAUAUCGGGAAACUGGUAUUCCCUUCGGGGCGGACUGCAAGGUGCUGCAUGGUUGUCGUCAGCUCGUGCCGUGAGGUGUCGGGUUAAGUCCCAUAACGAGCGCAACCCUUAUUGUUAGUUGCCAUCGGGUAAUGCCGGGGACUCUAUCGGAUCUGCCAUCGUAAGGUG